GGAUGAACGCUAGCGGCAGGCUUAACACAUGCAAGUCGAGGGGCAGCAUGAAGGUUAGCAAUAACCUUUGAUGGCGACCGGCGCAAGGGUGCGUAACGCGUGAGCAACUUGCCCGUUUCAGGGGGAUAACCGUUGGAAACGACGACUAAUACCCCAUGGUGAUGUUAGGAGGCAUCUCCUUUCAUCUAAAGAACUUCGGAAACGGAUAGGCUCGCGUCCGAUUAGCUAGUUGGUGAGGUAACGGCCCACCAAGGCGACGAUCGGUAGCCGACCUGAGAGGGUGAUCGGCCACAUUGGAACUGAGACACGGUCCAAACUCCUACGGGAGGCAGCAGUGGGGAAUAUUGGGCAAUGGGCGAAAGCCUGACCCAGCAACGCCGCGUGAGGGAAGAAGGUUCUCGGAUUGUAAACCUCUGUCCUUGGUGACGAAGGAAGUGACGGUAGCCAAGGAGGAAGCCCCGGCUAACUACGUG
rnacentral:rRNA from 1 species